UUUGCAACUGAAGCAACUGAGCUUUAUGUCAGAUAAAGAUUAAAAAGGAGAAAAAGUGACAUGUUUUCACAGAGCUGUUUUAAAUGUGAUGCGAAGAACAACAGCAAUAGCAGUACUCCCUUGGAACUGGGGAGAAAAGAAAAUUCUUGGGCCCCAUCCGAGACCUGCUGAAUCUCUGCCGGGGCAAGCUAGGGCUCCUCAUUUAACAAGCCUUCCAGGUGAUUUUUAUGCCGGCUGAAAUUUGAGACCUGCAGUCAUGUGUCUACUAAUUUCUGGAACAUGGCAGAGAAGAAAUGGGCCAGUUUAUUUACAGGAUUUGAUUGGGAGGAUGGUUGCCAACUACACUCUUUCUCCUGUCAGAAGGAUAAGAAACAGGUGUUUUGAAAGUGCCCAUGGCCAUAAGGGAGAAAGAGCACUAGACCAUCUGAAUAACAGCGAAAGUGGACACAGGAAACACCAGACAACCGGAGAAAUGGAGUCCAAAUGACAAUCAGAAAAUGCCUCUCUGAAGAGGUGAGCUGAGAUCUGAUAUCCAAGAAGCAUUCAUUUAUAGAGUUGGUGAGCAGAGGUCAGUACUAUUCAAAGCAGAGAAUGGGGUAAGUAUUAAAAAUUAUCCAGGGUAGGAAAGAAAUGAAGUUCAUUUAUGUCACAAAAAUUCAAAAGGGGACGAUGUGGAAGACAGUGGAAUGGGCAGGGUUAUUGGUGGAGGCCACACCAUACAAGGUUGUAGAAGACAUGAUAAGGCAUUUGGAUUUAUUUGAAGAGUUUUUGGAAAGUAUCAAAUGAUUUUAAUUAGGGAAAUGGCAUGAUUUCCGAUAGAUUUUAAAGAGUCUUCUCUUUUAAUGAUCCUGUGUAGUGCAUGAAUAAGACUGUGACAAGAAUGGAACUGGAAUGAUAGAAGGCUCUUCUAGCCAUCCAGACAUUUAGAGGAUGAAUCAAGGUGGACACACUAGAGGCAAGGUGAUCAGCUAGAAAUCUAUUCCAGUUGACAUGUUAAGAACAUAAAGUAAGGUGAGUCCAUGGGCAUGGAUAUGAGGAGCAUCAGGGAGGUAAGUUAAAUGGAAUUUGAAAAUAAAGUGUAUGUGUUUGAUAUUAAAUAGCUUCAAACCUGAGCAAUGAAGAAGAUGAUGAUGAAUGAGCAUUAAGGUGAAGCAUCAUAUCCUAUUACUGGAGGGUCAUUAUGCUUACUUUGUCUGCUUGGAUAAAGAAUUAGGCCAAAUAGUACAUUUCAUAAUAAAUCUUCCUCCUAGAUGGGUUACAUGUAGCAUCCAAUGUUCUUCAUGAGACCGGUUAGUGAAAAAAAAAA